rnacentral:rRNA from 1 species
GGGACAACAGUUGGAAACGACUGCUAAUACCGCAUAAGCCCACGGGUCGGCAUCGAGCAGAGGGAAAAGGAGCAAUCCGCUUUGAGAUGGCCUCGCGUCCGAUUAGCUAGUUGGUGAGGUAAUGGCCCACCAAGGCAACGAUCGGUAGCCGGACUGAGAGGUUGAACGGCCACAUUGGGACUGAGACACGGCCCAGACUCCUACGGGAGGCAGCAGUGGGGAAUAUUGCACAAUGGGGGAAACCCUGAUGCAGCGACGCCGCGUGGAGGAAGAAGGUCUUCGGAUUGUAAACUCCUGUUGUUGAGGAAGAUAAUGACGGUACCCAACAAGGAAGUGACGGCUAACUACGUGCCAGCAGCCGCGGUAAAACGUAGGUCACAAGCGUUGUCCGGAAUUACUGGGUGUAAAGGGAGCGCAGGCGGGAAGACAAGUUGGAAGUGAAAUCCAUGGGCUCAACCCAUGAACUGCUUUCAAAACUGUUUUUCUUGAGUAGUGCAGAGGUAGGCGGAAUUCCCGGUGUAGCGGUGGAAUGCGUAGAUAUCGGGAGGAACACCAGUGGCGAAGGCGGCCUACUGGGCACCAACUGACGCUGAGGCUCGAAAGUGUGGGUAGCAAACAGGAUUAGGUACCCUGGUAGUCCACACCGUAAACGAUGAUUACUAGGUGUUGGAGGAUUGACCCCUUCAGUGCCGCAG